rnacentral:rRNA from 1 species
UACGUAGGAGGCAAGCGUUGUCCGGAAUUACUGGGCGUAAAGCGCGUGUAGGUGGUGGGACAAGUCUGCUGUGAAAGCGCCUGGCUUAACCGGGCGAGGUCGGCGGAAACUGUCCGACUCGAGGACGGUAGAGGGGGGUGGAAUUCCCGGCGUAGUGGUGAAAUGCGUAGAGAUCGGGAGGAACACCUGUGGCGAAGGCGGCCCCCUGGGCCGGCCCUGACACUGAGACGCGAAGGCGUGGGGAGCGAACGGG